UAGGUCAGAACUAGCCUUGAGCCAGUUCCUUCCUUAUCAGCUCACCAGUAGGUCUCCCAUAGAAGUCUCUAAGUAGAAAGCAAGUUCCACCAGCUGCCCUUCCCUGUGAGUCAUAGGUGUGUCUUGUGAAUCUUAAUGAUCCUUCCAGGAGGAUCCUCCUUAGAACACAAAGCAGGAAGGAUUCAGGUAUCUUUUGCUAUGAAAGAGGUACAUUUCUUCUCCUCCUCCCUAGUUUAAUGAUUUUCAUACAUAUUUCAUG
rnacentral:lncRNA from 1 species